AUUGAACGCUGGCGGCAAGCCUAACACAUGCAAGUCGAACGAGUGGCGGACGGGUGAGUAAUGUCUGGGAAACUGCCUGAGGGAGGGGGAUAACUACGGGAAAAGGUAGCAAAUACCGCAUACCAUCGGAUGUGCCCAGAUGGGAUUAGCUAGUAGGUGGGGUAAAGGCUCACCUAGGCGACGAUCCCUAGCUGGUCUGAGAGGAUGACCAUCCACACUGGAACUGAGACACGGUCCAGACUCCUACUGGAGGCAGCAUUGGGGAAUAUUGCGCCAUGGGCGCAAGCCUGAUGCAGCCAUGCCGCGUGUAUGAAGAAGUCCUUCGGGUUGUAAAGUUCUUUCAGCGGGGAGGCGUUACCCGCAUAAGAAGCCCCGGCUAACUCCGUGCCAGCAGCCGCGGUAAUUC
rnacentral:rRNA from 1 species